rnacentral:rRNA from 1 species
AGUGAACGCUGGCGGUAGGCCUAACACAUGCAAGUCGAACGGCAGCACAGUAAGAGCUUGCUCUUACGGGUGGCGAGUGGCGGACGGGUGAGGAAUACAUCGGAAUCUACUUUUUCGUGGGGGAUAACGUAGGGAAACUUACGCUAAUACCGCAUACGACCUACGGGUGAAAGCAGGGGAUCUUCGGACCUUGCGCGAUUGAAUGAGCCGAUGUCGGAUUAGCUAGUUGGCGGGGUAAAGGCCCACCAAGGCGACGAUCCGUAGCUGGUCUGAGAGGAUGAUCAGCCACACUGGAACUGAGACACGGUCCAGACUCCUACGGGAGGCGGCAGUGGGGAAUAUUGGACAAUGGGCGGAAGCCUGAUCCAGCCAUACCGCGUGGGUGAAGAAGGCCUUCGGGUUGUAAAGCCCUUUUGUUGGGAAAGAAAAGCAGCAGGUUAAUACCCCGCUGUUCUGACGGUACCCAAAGAAUAAGCACCGGCUAACUUCGUG